rnacentral:rRNA from 1 species
UACGUAGGGUGCGAGCGUUAAUCGGAGUUACUGGGCGUAAAGCGUGCGCAGGCGGUGAGCUGUGUCCGAUGUGAAAGCCCCGAGCUCAACUUGGGAAUGGCAUUGGAAACUGGCGGGCUGGAGUGUGGCAGAGGGGGGUGGAAUUCCACGUGUAGCAGUGAAAUGCGUAGAGAUGUGGAGGAACACCGAUGGCGAAGGCAGCCCCCUGGGCCAACACUGACGCUCAGGCACGAAAGCGUGGGGAGCAAACAGG